rnacentral:rRNA from 1 species
ACGCUGGCGGCAUGCCUAACACAUGCAAAGUCGAACGAAGGCUUCGGCCUUAGUGGCGCACGGGUGCGUAACGCGUGGGAAUCUGCCCUUGGGUUCGGAAUAACAGUGAGAAAUUACUGCUAAUACCGGAUGAUGACUUCGGUCCAAAGAUUUAUCGCCCAAGGAUGAGCCCGCGUAAGAUUAGCUAGUUGGUGAGGUAAAGGCUCACCAAGGCGACGAUCUUUAGCUGGUCUGAGAGGAUGAUCAGCCACACUGGGACUGAGACACGGCCCAGACUCCUACGGGAGGCAGCAGUGGGGAAUAUUGGACAAUGGGCGAAAGCCUGAUCCAGCAAUGCCGCGUGAGUGAUGAAGGCCUUAGGGUUGUAAAGCUCUUUUACCAGGGAUGAUAAUGACAGUACCUGGAGAAUAAGCUCCGGCUAACUCCGUGCCAGCAGCCGCGGUAAUACGGAGGGAGCUAGCGUUGUUCGGAAUUACUGGGCGUAAAGCGCACGUAGGCGGCCAUUCAAGUCAGAGGUGAAAGCCCGGGGCUCAACCCCGGAACUGCCUUUGAAACUAGAUGGCUUGAAUCUUGGAGAGGCGUGGAAUUCCGAGUGUAGAGGUGAAAAUUCGUAGAUAUUCGGAAGAACACCAGUGGCGAAGGCGACUCGCUGGACAAGUAUUGACGCUGACGGUGCGAAAGCGAGG